GUAAAGGGAGGGGAAGGGGGCGUUAGUACAGAGGGGAUGGGAUGAGCAGCCGCGCGGUGUGUGUGGAGAAGUUUCUCGCUGUGAUGUGUGGGAUGGGGUGGGAGGGUCUGUAGAGACCAGGUCCUGGAGGGCCUUGUGUGCCCCGAGGAAGUGGAUGUGGGGUGCAGGCCUGGGGGCAGUUAGGACGAUUGCAGCAGGUGUUCUGUCUAAAAGGUGGUCCAGAGCUCAGUGCCAGGGAGGAAGUUAUAAAGAAAAGGUGAUGAACUUGAGAAUUGUUUACGAAGUAAAAUUGGCAAAACUUGAUACUUGGUUGAAUGUAAUCAUAAUAAUUAAGGAAAAUAGCUAACAUUACUGACUCUCGCUGUGCACCUGGCUCUGUGCUAAGCUUUUUGCCUGUAUUAACUCUCUUAAUUCUCACAAUAACUGAAGUGUGUACGACCUUAAUUCCCUGUUUACAGAUGGGAAAACCUUAGCACGAAGAGUUGAAGGAACUUGCCCCGAGUGACACAGCUGGUAGGUAAGAGAGCCAGGACUUGAAUCUGAAUCUAGAGCCUGUGCUUCCCUCCCCCCAACCAACAAUUUUAAGGAGGUAUAACUUACCUACCGUAAAAUUCACCCAUCUAAGUGUACACGUCAGUGACUUUCUAGUAAAUUUACAGAGUUGUGCAACUGUCGCAACAAACCGAUUUUAGAACAUUUCCGUCACAUCAGAAAGAUCUCUCGUCCCCAUUUGCAAUAUCCAUUCCCACGCCCAGCCUCAGACAACCACUAAUCCACCUUCCAUCUUUCUGAUUUGCCUUUUCUGGGCAUCUCAUAUAAAUGGAAUCAGACAACAUGUGGGGUUUUGCCUCUGGCUUCUUUUGCACUUAGCAUGGUGUUUUUGAGGUUCAUCCAUGUGUAGAUGGGUCAGUAACCGCUUUCUUUAUCGUUGCUGAAUCGUGUUCUGUAGUGUAGUGACCGCACAUUCUGUUUACGCAGUCACCAGCAGGCUGCUGUGACCAUUGUGUACAAGUGUUUAUAUGGCCUUGUUCUCACUUCCCUUGGGUAUGUAUUUAGGAGUGCUGUGUGUGGCUUUUAUGGUAAGCUAGUGUUUAACUUUUUGAGGAACUCCCUCUUUUCCAAAGUGUCUGUGCCUUUUACCUUCUCACCAGCAACGUACGAGGGUUCUGAUCUCUCCACAUCCUCACCAAUACUUGUUGUUUUAUAUUUUUUGGUUAUAGCCAUUCUAGUGGGUGUGAAGUGAUAUGUCAUUGUGGCUUCGAUUUGCAUUUCUCAAAGGGCUAAUGAUGUUGAGCAUCUUUGCAUAUUUUUAUGAAUCUUUUGUGUAUAUUUGGUGAAAUGUCUAUUCACAUCUUUUGCUCACUUGUUUAAUUGGGUUGUUGCCUUAUUUUUGAAAAGCAAGCAUUCUUAAAAUACUCUGGGUACAAGUCCUUUGUAAGACAUGUGAUUUGCAAAAUAUUUUCUCCCUGCCUGUGACGUGUCUUUUCAGUUUCUUAAUGGUGCCUUUUGAAGUGUUAAUGUUUCUAAUUUUAAUGAAGUCCAGCUUAUUGGGUUUUUCUCAUUGGGUUGUGCUUUUAAGCACUGUACCUCUCUGCCUAACCCAGGGUCACAAAUAAUUUUCUCCUAUGUUUUAUUUCAGACACUUUACAGUUUUAAUUUAGCGCUUGCAUUUAGGUCUGUGAGCCAUGUGGAGUUAUCGUUGUAUAAGGUGUGAGGUGAGGAUCUAAGCUUAUGUGGGUAUUCAGUGGUCUCAGAAACGUGUAUUUACAAGACCAUGCUUUCCCCGACUGAACUGCCUUGGUACCUCUAUCAAAAAUCAAUUUACCGUAUAUAUGUAAGUAUUUUAAGUUUUGAAAUCAGGAAGUGUACAUCCUCCACCUUUAUUCUUUUUCAAGUUGUUUUGACUAUUUGGCGUCCUUUGCGUUUCUGUAUAAAUUUUAGGAUCCGCUUGUUAGUUUCUGCAAAAAAACAAUAACAACAACCUUGUUGAAACUGUAGAUCAACUUUGGAAUCUUAACAUUGUUGGGUCUUUCAAUCCAUAAACAUAGAAUGUUAAUUUUGAUUUUUAAUUUAUUUUCCAUUUGAUUUUUCAUUUUUCACUUAUUUGGGGGUAGUUUUAGCCUUACACUUCCUUUGUUAAAGUUAUUCCUGUUUUAUUUUUUCUGUUCUCAUGAGUAGAAUUGUGUCCUUCAGAGCCUGUGUGCUUACACAUCAUUCUGUACUGUUGAGGGGAGAGGAAGGCUCAAAGUUGACUUCUCCAGUCCCCAGGAUGGGUGGUGGGGUGGACCGUGGGGCCACCAUCUGAUGAAGAGAAUUCAGGAGUUGAGGGCUGGUGAGGAAGUGGCUUCUGUUUUGACGUGCAGGAUCUGAGGAAUAGGGGACGGACAGGUCGUGAUGUCUGGCGGGCAGCUGGCAAUUCCAGAGAGAUUUGGACUUGCCGGCAUGUAGGGGUCAAGCCAUAGGGGAGCACCUGCCUGGGGAGAGGAAGAGCUGAGGGUGGGAGAGCCAGGCGGGGUGGUCCCUGACAGUUAAGAGGUGCCCCAGGGAAGGUGUGUGGUCCUAGGCCGGCUCCGCAGAGCCCAGGUGCCUGGUGAUUGAGAUGGCGCUGCGGAGGCAGACGGACUUGAGUUCGGAGUCGGCAUCCACAGCAGCCACUGCUCUCGAUCCUGGGGUCUCGUGAAGUCACAAGGCAACAGCAUCCAUGUGCUCGGGGACCUGGUGUGACCCAUUUCCUCUGUAGUACGGAGAUGGUAGCGUUUAUUUCGUGGAGGUGUGAGGAUUAAAUGAGUUGACGGGUGCAACGUGUCCAGCAUGGCGUCACAGGCGGUAGCGACAUGGAAUGUUACCUGUCAUCACACGCCCCCACAGAGCUGGGCGUUAGGAGCCUGAGGGACAGCACAGGGCGAUGGGAGAGGAGGGGCCCUGCCUGGGGGAACGGGAGUCCCAGGAAGGAGGAAGCAGCAGACUAAGUGCAGCAGAAAGGCCCAGUGACUUGACUGAAGAGACAGUUGGGGUUUGCCAGUUCGGGGGUCGGUGCUGUCACCUGCUGUCUCUCCCAGAGCCACGGCUGGGUGGGCACGUGGGAGGCGGUGCCGCCCUCUCCAGAGCAGGGUGGGCGGAGGAAGGGGCUGGGGGGGCUGCAUUCACACGGGUGAAAUAAUGCCAGUUAGAGGGCAGUUCUGACCAUUCACACACUCAGGUACCUCUACCAGUCAGCCUUUGGUUUUAUUCCAGUGUCUUAAUUUCUGUAUUCAUGGGGAUUAAAACACCAGUGGUUAACCUUCAGACUUUCACUUUAAUUUGGAGGAAAAUCGGCACAAUCUGAAGGGAAAGCAGGCACAUCACGAAAAUGCUCGCGUCCUGCGCGGGAACAUCCUUGACUUUGGAGAGCACUUCUUCAAGUUCUGCUACCACUAAGUGUAGUACGCUGAGGAGAGGUGAUCUAGAAGUCACCCUGUGCAGACGUGGAGAGGCUCACUGCUCUGAAAGUUAAGUACAAAUCAGCGAUGAGCCGUGGCUCCUGGAAAGCUCCGUCCGUCUUGAAUGCGUCCGUCAGCUCUGCCAAGAUCCUGGGGUGACUCCGGGCAGGUCACCGGGCCUCCCCGGGCCCAGGUUCUCUGACCUGCAAAGUCAGGGGGCAGGAAGGAGCAUUUGAAAAGGGAUCUGCUCCAAACUCUAAGGGGAGGGCGCCCACACUCCAGGUCGGUUUGUCUGCUUCGCGUGGGUACCGUGUCGGGUGCUAGGAAAACACUGGUAAGCAAAGACCAGAUGGUCCCUGGCAUCACAGAGUGGAUGGUCGUGUGGGGAAGGCUGGCAUUAGUUCCUUGUUACCAGCACAAAUGAAGACCCACGUCUGUGGCAGGGAACGGGGGAAGGGGGACCCAGUGUGCUCGGGCCUCUGUGGCACGACGGUGACGCUCGAGAGAAAAGAUGCAGCUUGAAUUGGCCGGGCAGGGAAGUCGCCGCAGUCACGGGCUGAGGACGCCGGCUCACAGCCGUGGUGGACGAGGGGCCCUCGCAGGACAGCCUGGGAGCAGAGGACACAGAGUAGCAAAUAUGACACAGACAGCUCCAGUUGCUAAUGUGAAUACAGUUGUGCAUUAUCAGCCACGUCUGUCCCACAAAUAAUACCACUAGCGGCACCGCCUUUGGAAAGGCAGGGCCCGGCGGCCCAGCCAGCGGCAGCGUGCGGGAGCGGAGGGGAGUGGAGCGGGCAUGGCGGCCCGGCCAGCGGCAGCGUGCGGCAGCGGAGGGGAGCGGCCACGGCGGCGCCGCAGCCUGGGCUGGGGCAAGUCACGUCCACUUUCUGGGCCUCACUCUCUCAGCUCUAAGACGUGGGCAUUGGAGCUAGACAGGGUGGUGGACAUGACCUGGGCCAGCGGGUCUCCACCUGGGCUGCGACUGAGAGUCACUUGAGAAGCUGCCCAAAAUACUGAUGCCCGGGCCCCCCAGACCAGUAAGUCAGAAUCUCCUGGGGUGGGGUCCAGGAGUUAGGAUUGUUUAAAAAAAUUAAACACACAGUCCAGUCGAUCUGUCCCUCAGAACCAAACCACGUGAUGCAAUUGUAUAGGAAUAAACUACGAGAAGCCAGAGCCUUGCCUUGAAACCUUUGAUGAGCGGCCACGAAUGCCCCACCUCUGUUAACAAGCGAAGAGUGUGGACCAUGAGGAAAGGAGACGUCCCUCCCUCUCCACCUCUACGUCUUUAUUGUUCUAGCUCCUGUGUCAUACUUUCACUAUCUGGAAACCACCUUAAAAUCAUGUGAGGGCAUUUCUAUCUGGAGGGUUUGAAUGGUGUAUGGAAAGAACUCAGGCUUGCAGCAAACUUGGAGAUGAGUCUCAGCUUUUCCACUAACCUUGCUGGACCUCAGCCUCUUGAGUAAAAUAGAGAGGAUGAGGCCUUCCCUGCAGGGUCACUCUGAAGAGGUACUGAGAUGAUGUACGUGUAAAACAGCGCCUGGGACACACAUACACAAUAAGUGUUAAAUGAUGGAUAGAAAUGGUUGUGUAGGGGAGGGGCUCAUAUCUUUAUAUUUAAAGAGCUUGUUUUUCCCCUUGAGCCUUGGGAAGGACCCCCAAGUGGAAUAUGGACAAAGAAUAGUAAAAGAAAAUGUGCAGAUAAAGAAGUACAAAGCAAUUAAACAUAUUCUCCGUCCCCAUUCAUUAGAGAAAUCGAAACUGAAGCAAUGAUUGGCAAACAGUUGGCAAAAAGGAUGCCCGUGCCCUGCUUGUGGGAGAAAAAUGCAUCCUAAACGUGCCGCUUCCCAUGCUGUGUUCUCCGUCUGGCAACACCACUUCCAUGAGCAGAAGUGGAUGUAAAAGGAUGUCUGUUUCACCAUAGUUUGUAAUAAAGAAAAACUGGAAAUAGCCUGAAUGUCCAUGAGCAGAGGAUAGGUUAAAUUAUGGUGUAACCAUAUAAAAGAACACUAACACUGUUCGCCCUUUCAAAAUACAGAGACGGCCUGAUGUGUCCUGACAUGGAAAGAUGUCUGAUUUAUUGCUGAGUGAACAAAGCUACAGACAGCAUUCACAGAGCCCUUGGUUGACUUUCCAACUUCUGCCUUCACGUCAGGCCAGCCUUGAAGCAGACGACGUUGUGGUGUUGAAGAAGCAGCAAGAAGAAAUGCAAUGGCCUGUUCUACACUCUGCUCGGACCAUCUCCUUUGCCAGGUCACCCCGUGCAUAAGAGACCGCAUCCUAGGGGUCCAGCCUGGUCUCCUAAAAGGAAAGGAAGAUCUGGCCAGUCAUGACAUGACAAGGACAUCCAAGAGCAGAAACUCCCCCCGUGAUUUUGGACUGGCUCCUCCUAAGGCCUGAGAACUGGAAAGGACUGGACCCAGCUUCGGGAGAGACUGUGAGAAGAGAUGGUUCCCUUUACCCCGCAGACCAGCAAGGACCAGUGGUCUCGGGAAGAAAGGUGGUCUGUGGCUGGCGGUGCUCGGCCAACCAUGCUCAGCAGGUUUCUUUGCUCCAGGAUUUCUCAGGGUCUCUGUGUGCCCUGGAGGUGUGUUUUGCGGAACACAGCUUGGAGAAUGCUGCUAUAGAAAUAUA